rnacentral:sRNA from 1 species
GCCGGGCAUGGUGGCGCACGCUUGUAAUCCCAGCUACUCAGGAGGCUGAGGCAGGAGAAUUGCUUGAAUCUGGGAGGCGGGGGUUGCAGUGAGCCGAGAUUGCGCCACUGCACUCCAGCCUGAGUGACAGAGCAAGACUCUGUCUCAA